CAAAGAGAGGCAAGACCGCGAGGUGGAGCAAAUCUCAAAAAGACCGUCCCAGUUCGGAUCGCAGGCUGCAACCCGCCUGCGUGAAGUUGGAAUCGCUAGUAAUCGCGGAUCAGCAUGCCGCGGUGAAUACGUUCCCGGGCCUUGUACACACCGCCCGUCACACCAUGAGAGUCGGGAACACCCGAAGUCCGUAGCCUAACCGCAAGGGGGGCGCGGCCGAAGGUGGGUUCGAUAAUUGGGGUGAAGUCGUAACAAGGUACC
rnacentral:rRNA from 1 species